AUGAAAAAAAAAUGUUUCGGAGGAAAAGAGAAAAGUAAAAAAAAUUAUUUCGGAGUCGUGGCCGCACCCGCGGUGCCGGGGCGCUCUCCCGCAGGCCGGCUGUAGAUGGAGCUCUUAUCCCAGAGCCUUUCCUCUGGAAACGCCGGCAGCCGGGAAUGGCCUCGGGAAACUUCUUGAUGCCAGCCGGGAACACCCUGAAAACGCGCUCGUUUCUGCCCGUCUUUUCCUGCAGGGCCUUCAGAAAUCUCAAGUCACGACUUAGUGGUUUUGCCGUGAGGGUCUCAGGGCGUUUCAAGACGUGAGUUGGGAACUUUCUCAGUCUAAUUAAGCAGGAGAGAUGGCUGAAUCUCUAACAGAUGCACUCUGAUGCUAAAAUGAUCCUCAAAUGUCUUAAGCUUAAUUAGAAACAAAACAAAACAAAACACCAUAAACCAGAAGUUUCUAAAUGAAAAAAAAAAAAAAAAGGGGGAAAGAAAACUCACAUAUCCUCCUAAUCAAAUUUAGUUCUCUUUUUCUCUGACUUUAUAGCCUUUCUGUUGUCUGUCAUGUUCUGAAUACAAAAAUUUCCACUCUAUAAAUAAAUGAACAGGAAAAAAAAUUAUAUGUGGGUGAUCAGAGAAAGAAGGGAAACACUGACAAAAAACAAACCAGGAAAAAAUGGCAUGUAUCUUGUAAAGUCACAUCUAGAAAGGCAAGUGACCUUGUAUAAUCAGCCAUCUCAUGCAGUGAGGUACACUCGAUAUCACUUUCAAGGUCAUUGGUAAUUGAUUUUCUUUGAGAUUUCGAUUUAAGCUUUCCUGAAAAUGUUUAUCCUGCUAGGUUUUGAAUUACAGCUUUGAAAUUAUGAAGGAGCAUUUUACUUUUGGCCGCCCAACACCCAUCAGACUCAUCACAGAGUUCUUUGUCUUCAACAUAGUUUUGAUGGUUCCAGGUCUUUGCACAAGUAGAGGCAAACCCUGUGGACUUUCCUAGUUAGAAGUAUUGCUCAUCUUCCUUGGUGGAUUCCAAACCUUUAUGCUAUAACAUGACCAAGAUGGACUGAACACAUUCUUGGCCCCGACAAUAAUUGUUGCCAGGGUAUCCGCAAAAUGCUGACCUCAGGCUGAGUUUCACAAAAUUACUGCUGACUUCCUCUCUGCUAAAGAAGUUUGAGAAACUCUUGUGUAAAAAAGGAAAAGGUGGAGAACACGUUACAUUAUUUUCUAUUUCAAUCACAAAGCUCUUUCCUGUCUUCUGUGACAGUCAGAAAAUGACUUUAUAAAUUAGGCAGGAAAAAAAGCAGCACCACAAACUCCAUUUCCAUCACAUUUUGAAAAAUGCAAAUGUGCAAAAGCAGAACUGAAGGUAUCAGCGCAAAUCUGCAGUUGGAUGGGGACCCACAGCAAGUGACCAGAGGAGAAGCCAUAGAAGGCCUGCAACAUCUCUGUGCAUAAAUCUCCCUGGUUUUCAUGCCGAGAGAAUGAGCAGCUCCAAAAGAUCUGUUCUAGCCAUCCUUCCUCCCAGGAUUCCAGAAAUUAUAGGAAAAAUACCACUGUGGGUUGACUACCCCCUUUGAGUGGAUGCACAGACCACUUCUGGAGUCCUGAGGCAAUGGCAUGGGAUUGGCAUUUCCAAGUUUGCUCACUGCAAUGGCCAGCACAGACACCAAGGAAAAGAAAGUCUCAGUCUGCAGCUGCAGAGUGACUGCCAGUUUCACCUAUGUGAAGAGAUCAUGUUUGACAGGCAGUGGAAAAGCAGAAAGGUAGGUACCAUGGUACUGCUGCUAGCAGUCCUACCUUUCCCACAGGUGGAACAUGGCAACAGCGAGCACAGAUGCCUCUGUAGCUCCCCAUCUCCAUACAGAGAAGCCUCAGUGCAUAUAAAAGCAAGCCUCUACCUUGUCACUCGGCCUGUAUGCAUGAGUCAUAGCAAAGAUGUCUUCUGAGGGACAAAACGUGGAGGCUUUGACAAGAACAAUCUUGUGUAAGGCCCAUCGAGGACUUUGAGCACAGGAAAGUUGCUGGUAUGUACACUCUACCUGUUUGCAACAGUACUGGUAAGAUAAGAACAGCGUGACAGGUGAGGAAAAAAGCAAUAAAAAGACACAGCUUAGGGACAGGUAAAUUGAGAGUCUACACGCUGAUUUUUCACAAUGAAUGAAUCAAAAUUACUUUGAAAUAUACAUAGGAAAAAAACUUCAAACACCUUUCAAUAGUACAAAAAGAGAAAAAAGCCUGUCUUGUAGGUGAAAAGUUAUUUAGUGUGGCAGUCUCACCUUCAUUCCUACUGUUGAUCUUGCCACACUGGUGAUUCCUAUAGAGAAACAGGUCUUUAGAAGUAAGUGCACAACAAUAAUUUCUUUUAGCCCUAUCUACAGUGUUUCUUGUCUAAAUAUUUGUAGGAAAAAUUCAUAAAGUACGUGCCUGCUGGGGCUCAGCCUAGGCUGUGGAUAUUUCUACGAAGGGAUAGCUCAACCUUUCAAGCUAUGCAAUCCAUCUCCUCUGACUGCUGUGAUGCUUUCUUACUCCAAACAAAGCCUCUGCUCCAGUUUACACACACAAAAGGCUGAUGUGUUUUCUGCCUACAGAGGGGGACCCAUCUCUCAAAUUGAAACACCUGCCAGAGAGGAGAAGGGAUGCUGAGAAAAGGGUCGGCAGGGCUUGAAUUGUCCUUGCAGUGCUGUAGAUCUGUCACUAUCCAGCCAGGGCUUUGUGUAGGUCUGAUAGGCUUGGAGCUGGGCCAGCUCCCAAAGGGGGACAUCUAAGGGCAGUGCUGCUUUGAAAGGGCUGAGAGGUGAGAAGGAGAGAGAACUUGCCAGGAAACCGAACAGCCUUUUGAUUUCUUCAGUGUUACAGCCAUGUAAUUUUCUAAAGAAAAUAACCUGACUCUGCUGAUCAAGUAGAUGGCACUGUGAUAUCAAAGCUAAUGAGGAAAGAUAAGCAAGAGAGUGAGGCACAGCUAAAAGAACAGGAAGAUGAUUCUUCAUUAUUGGUGUGUUUCAAUGUAAAGUAAGAGGGAAUAGAAAUUACCAAGAUGAAAUAUUUUCUUUGAGAACCUGAUGUUUGGCAAUUCACAAAUCAAGAGAGGAAUGGAACCUAAAAAUGGACUGUCACAAUCAACUGGAAAGAUUUUCCUUCCAGGUCUCUAUUUUGAAUCAUUAUGGAUUUGAAGCUUCACACUAAAAUGUCGUAUU